rnacentral:rRNA from 1 species
GUUCCUCGCUCAGAUUGAACGCUGGCGGCAUGCUUUACACAUGCAAGUCGAACGGCAGCACAGGGAGCUUGCUCCCGGGUGGCGAGUGGCGCACGGGUGAGUAAUACAUCGGAACGUGUCCUGUUGUGGGGGAUAACUGCUCGAAAGGGUGGCUAAUACCGCAUGAGACCUGAGGGUGAAAGCGGGGGAUCGCAAGACCUCGCGCAAUUGGAGCGGCCGAUGCCCGAUUAG